rnacentral:rRNA from 1 species
CCCUUAGAUGUUCUGGGCCGCACGCGCGCUACACUGAUGCAUUCAACGAGUCUAAAACCUGCUCUGAUAGGGGUGGGUAAUCUUUUGAAUGUGCAUCGUGAUUGGGAUAGAUGAUUGCAAUUUUUCAUCUUCAACGAGGAAUGCCUAGUAAACGCAAGUCAUCAGCUUGCAUUGAUUACGUCCCUGCCCUUUGUACACACCGCCCGUCGCUCCUACCGAUUGAAUGAUCCGAUGAAUAUCAUGGAUUGAGGAUUAUAGCAGGUUUGCCUGUCUCGAUCUUCGAGAAGUGAAGUAAAUCUUAUCAUUUAGAGGAAGGAGAAGUCGUAACA